rnacentral:rRNA from 1 species
GUUUGUCGCGUUGUUCGUGAAAUCUCACGGCUUAACUGUGAGCGUGCGGGCGAUACGGGCAGACUUGAGUACUGCAGGGGAGACUGGAAUUCCUGGUGUAGCGGUGGAAUGCGCAGAUAUCAUGGGGAACACCGGUGGCGAAGGCGGGUCUCUGGGCAGUAACUGACGCUGAGGAGCGAAAGCGUGGGGAGCGAACAGGAUUAGAUACCCUGGUAGUCCACGCCGUAAACGGUGGGUACUAGGUGUGGGUUUCCUUCCUUGGGAUCCGUGCCGUAGCUAACGCAUUAAGUACCCCGCCUGGGGAGUACGGCCGCAAGGCUAAAACUCAAAGAAAUUGACGGGGGCCCGCACAAGCGGCGGAGCAUGUGGAUUAAUUCGAUGCAACGCGAAGAACCUUACCUGGGUUUGACAUGCACAGGACGCCGGCAGAGAUGUCGGUUCCCUUGUGGCCUGUGUGCAGGUGGUGCAUGGCUGCCGUCAGCUCGUGUCGUGAGAUGUUGGGUUAAGUCCCGCAACGAGCGCAACCCUUGUCUCAUGUUGCCAGCGGGUAAUGCCGGGGACUCGUGAGAGACUGCCGGGGUCAACUCGGAGGAAGGUGGGGAUGACGUCAAGUCAUCAUGCCCCUUAUGUCCAGGGCUUCACACAUGCUACAAUGGCCGGUACAAAGGGCUGCGAUGCCGCGAGGUUAAGCGAAUCCUUUUAAAGCCGGUCUCAGUUCGGAUCGGGGUCUGCAACUCGACCCCGUGAAGUCGGAGUCGCUAGUAAUCG